AUUGAACGCUGGCGGCAGACCUAACACAUGCAAGUCGAGCGGAUGAAGGGAGCUUGCUCCUGGAUUCAGCGGCGGACGGGUGAGUAAUGCCUAGGAAUCUGCCUGGUAGUGGGGGAUAACGUCCGGAAACGGGCGCUAAUACCGCAUACGUCCUGAGGGAGAAAGUGGGGGAUCUUCGGACCUCACGCUAUCAGAUGAGCCUAGGUCGGAUUAGCUAGUUGGUGGGGUAAAGGCCUACCAAGGCGACGAUCCGUAACUGGUCUGAGAGGAUGAUCAGUCACACUGGAACUGAGACACGGUCCAGACUCCUACGGGAGGCAGCAGUGGGGAAUAUUGGACAAUGGGCGAAAGCCUGAUCCAGCCAUGCCGCGUGUGUGAAGAAGGUCUUCGGAUUGUAAAGCACGUUAAGUUGGGAGGAAGGGCAGUAAGUUAAUACCUUGCUGUUUUGACGUUACCAACAGAAUAAGCACCGGCUAACUUCGUG
rnacentral:rRNA from 1 species